AUAGAAAACACCCACAUUAUAAACUACCAGAAAUAGAUUAGUUUAACGAGACUUAACUGUUCCCACCUAAGACUGUCAGAGGGAGCACAGAUUUGAUACCCUUUUGGAUAGACUUAAAACUUGAGUCAUCUUUAUCAACGUAUGUUGAAAAUAUAUGUUGAAAUCCAACAGUAGGAAAAAAUAAAAGUACUGUGCAUUCAUGAAGCAGCAGGAAUUGAUAUCUUUUAAUGAAGUAUUUAUUAUUUUAACUACCAAAUGAUGCAGUGUAAAUAUACAGAGAACUUGGUUUAAGGUUGAAAAUGAAUUGGCCACGUGUAUGUUUAAAAGGUCUUUUACAAAAGGCUGGCAAGACCAUCUGUUCCGUAUGACUUAAGAAUCUUAAACUAUAAUCUAGAAAGGUGAGACACCAAUGUAUUUAUACGUGUUUCUGAAAAAUAAAAAUUAUGUCCAAGUUUUUGUGGUAAUCACUUUGUGAAACCCUAGUGUCGCUAAGUAAUGUUUAG
rnacentral:lncRNA from 1 species